GACGAACGCUGGCGGCGUGCUUAACACAUGCAAGUCGAACGGUAAGGCCCUUCGGGGUACACGAGUGGCGAACGGGUGAGUAACACGUGGCUGAUCUGCCCUGCACUUCGGGAUAAGCCUGGGAAACUGGGUCUAAUACCGGAUAGGACCACUGCCUGCAUGGGUGGUGGUGGAAAGCUUUUGCGGUGGUUGGGAUGGGCCCGCGGCCUAUCAGCUUGUUGGUGGGGUGAUGGCCUACCAAGGCGACGACGGGUAGCCGGCCUGAGAGGGUGACCGGCCACACUGGGACUGAGAUACGGCCCAGACUCCUACGGGAGGCAGCAGUGGGGAAUAUUGCACAAUGGGCGCAAGCCUGAUGCAGCGGCGCCGCGUGAGGGAUGACGGCCUUCGGGUUGUAAACCUCUUUCAGCACCGACGAAGCGCAAGUGACGGUAGGUGCAGAAGAAGGACCGGCCAACUACGUGCCAGCCGCCGCUGUAACAC
rnacentral:rRNA from 1 species